AUGCAGAACUGCAGGGGCACCACGCAUGGCCGGCCGGCUGGUGUCACCCACACGAAUAAGCAUGACAGUGAUGGUCUAAGGAAGAAAGAUUUUUCUUUAUCCCAGGCCAUGUGGGCAAUGACUAGCUCUCCAUGCUUGUUAUCUGUACUCUUGAUCCCUGUGUUCUCUUGGUCUUGUGUGUGGGUUGGCCAAGUAAUUGUUAUUAGGAGUUUGGGCCCAAACCUUUGCUCUGUACAUGGAGGUCAGUGUCUCGUAGACAGUCUGUUUGUUUCAUUUGUUAUCGCAGUACUGGAUCUUGAUCUGGUUUGGGAGUGA
rnacentral:rRNA from 1 species